rnacentral:lncRNA from 1 species
GGGGGAUAAAAAGGCAGAAGAUCUUGUUUUGUAAGUGGAAGGGCUUCAUCACUGUGAUCAGGGGGGGAAACUGAUCUUGUUUUGUAAAAAAAAGGGGCUUCAUCACUGUAAUCGGGGGGGUUUUCUUUUCUUUUCUUUUCUUUUUUCUUCUUUCUUUUCUCGGCUAAAGCCGAAUGUGCUCAGAAAAAGAGGAGAUUCUUCUUCCUUUUUUUAACGAACAUUAAUAAAAUAAAAACAUAAAAAACAGAUUCAAGGUCAUUGUUUUUUUUCAGUUUUGCGUAUCUACUUUUCUUUUUUUUUCCUUUCAUUUUUUUUCUUUCUUCAUUUAUGC